rnacentral:rRNA from 1 species
CGGGGAAUAUUGCGCAAUGGGCGAAAGCCUGACGCAGCGACACCGCGUGAAGGAUGAAGGUCUUCGGAUUGUAAACUUCUGUUAAGUGAGAAGAAUGUCGCCAUUUUUAAUAGAUUUGGCGGAGUGACGGUAUCACUAGAGAAAGCACCGGCUAACUUCGUGCCAGCAGCCGCGGUAAUACGAGGGGUGCAAGCGUUAUUCGGAAUAACUGGGCGUAAAGGGUGCGUAGACGGUAUGUUAAGUUUGUUGUUAAAUUUCUCGGCCUAACUGAGAGCAAGCAGCGAAUACUGGCAAACUAGAGGUUGGAAGAGAGAAGUGGAAUUCUCGGUGGUAGCGGUAAAAUGCUUAGAUAUCGAGAGGAACACCGAUGGUGAAGACAGCUUCUUGGUCCAAAUCUGAC